UACGUAGGGGGCAAGCGUUGUCCGGAAUCAUUGGGCGUAAAGCGCGUGUAGGCGGCCAGAAAAGUCCGCUGUGAAAACUCGAGGCUCAACUUCGAGCUGUCGGUGGAAACUUUCUGGCUAGAGUCCGGAAGAGGAGAAUGGAAUUCCUGGUGUAGCGGUGAAAUGCGCAGAUAUCAGGAAGAACACCCGUGGCGAAAAGCGAGGUCCUGGACGCCUACUGACGCUGAGACGCGAAAGCCAGGGGAGCGAACGGG
rnacentral:rRNA from 1 species